GCAAGUGUGCCGAAAUGGUAGCCGGGCAGUUCUUAGGCAACUGUGACACAGCGUCUUAUGGGUUCAAGUCCCAUCACUUGUA
rnacentral:tRNA from 1 species